UUCGGUUUUAAAAUGCCCACCCCUACGAAGAACAGAGAGACGGAGUGUCGUGAACCGGGUGGUCGUCGGUGUUGUCCUCGCCACGGCUGGCGUCCGGGGGUCCGCGACGAGCCGAGGUGCUUUGGGUGGUUGUCAGUGGAUCGCCUGUAGCUAGAUUGGGAGGAAAUCGACCCUGGGGCGGCUGGAAUUCAUCACCGUACACAUCGAUCCGCCGCACCGCGUGGGUAGAUUGGAGUACUCCUGGAAUCGCGGUGAGCAACCUCUCCCCUACAUCGUACGGUUAUCCUCUACGUGUUACUAAAAUUGAUUCGAAGUUCGUGCGAGUGGGCCGGAUUUUGGGCGACACCGG
rnacentral:lncRNA from 7 species